rnacentral:rRNA from 1 species
UACGUAGGGUGCGAGCGUUGUCCGGAAUUACUGGGCGUAAAACGCGUGUAGGCGGUUGUCAAAAGUCGGGUGUGAAAGCCUUGAGCUUAACUCAAGAAAUGCACUCGAUACUUGGUGACUAGAGGACCGGAGAGGAUAGUGGAAUUCCCAGUGUAGUGGUGAAAUACGUAGAGAUUGGGAAGAACACCAGUGGCGAAGGCGGCUAUCUGGACGGUUUCUGACGCUAAGACGCGAAAGCGUGGGGAGCAAACAGGAU